UACGGAGGGUGCAAACGUUGCUCGGAAUCAUUGGGCGUAAAGCGCACGUAGGUGGCCUGUUAAGUCGGGUGUGAAAUCCCUGGGCUCAACCCCAGGAAGUGCACUCGAAACUGGCAGGCUUGAGUACUGAAGAGGGUCGCGGAAUUCCCGGUGUAGAGGUGAAAUUCGUAGAUAUCGGGAGGAACACCAGUGGCGAAGGCGGCGACCUGGGCAGAUACUGACACUGAGGUGCGAAAAGCGUGGGGGAGCAAACAGG
rnacentral:rRNA from 1 species